AUGAACGCUGGCGGCGUGCCUAAUACAUGCAAGUCGAGCGAACAGACGAGGAGCUUGCUCCUCUGACGUUAGCGGCGGACGGGUGAGUAACACGUGGAUAACCUACCUAUAAGACUGGGAUAACUUCGGGAAACCGGAGCUAAUACCGGAUAAUAUAUUUAACCGCAUGGUUCAAUAGUUAAAGACGGUUUUGCUGUCACUUAUUGAUGGAUCCGCGCCGCAUUAGCUAGUUGGUAAGGUAACGGCUUACCAAGGCGACGAUGCGUAGCCGACCUGAGAGGGUGAUCGGCCACACUGGAACUGAGACACGGUCCAGACUCCUACGGGAGGCAGCAGUAGGGAAUCUUCCGCAAUGGGCGAAAGCCUGACGGAGCAACGCCGCGUGAGUGAUGAAGGUCUUCGGAUCGUAAAACUCUGUUAUUAGGGAAGAACAAAUGUGUAAGUAACUAUGCACGUCUUGACGGUACCUAAUCAGAAAGCCACGGCUAACUACGUG
rnacentral:rRNA from 1 species